ensembl:lncRNA PRR34-AS1 PRR34 antisense RNA 1
UGGACAAACGGCAGGCAAGCCCCCUGUGCUCCUCGCUGGAUUGAGCUUCUAGAGCCUCAGAGAUGGAAUUCGCCGUUUUGCCGCGAUUUGGCGUUAACUUAUUGACCCAUGGGGAGGAGGGUCACUUCCCGUGAAAAGAAGGCAGAGAUGUUUUGCUGUGCCCAGUGUGAGGAAGCGAAGGAAAAGAAAGAUCUUUUGAAAAUGUGUACAUCUACUUGCAGCUUGAAAAUUCCAAGUGCCAGACAUUUUUCUUGGAGGAAAUAAAUGUCUUCAAUUUAUUCAUCUUA